GCGGGGCGCACCUAGGGUUCCGCCGGUGAUCCGGGACUGGUCCGAGAGGUGCAGGCGGCACCGCCGGUGCCGCUCCACGGCGGGGGAAAAGCCCGGGAGGC
rnacentral:sRNA from 2 species